UCCAACUGUCAUAUUGUGAUGAAUGGUGU
rnacentral:piRNA from 1 species